GAUGAAGAACGUAGCGAAAUGCGAUAAGUAGUGUGAAUUGCAGAAUUCAGUGAAUCAUCGAAUCUUUGAACGCACAUUGCGCCCUUUGGUAUUCCUUAGGGCAUGUCUGUUCGAGCGUCAUUUGAACCCUCAAGCUCAGCUUGGUGUUGGGUGUCUGUCCCCGCCUCCGCGGGGACUCGCCUCAAAAUCAUUGGCGGCCGGUACGUUGGCUUCGAGCGCAGCAGAAACGCGAACUCGAGGCCCGGCGGAUCGGCGACCAGAAGUCUCUUCUUCACAGUUUGACCUCGGAUCAGGUAGGGAUACCCGCUGAACUUAAGCAUAUCAAUAAGCGGAGGA
rnacentral:misc_RNA from 1 species